UCGAUGCCUGCUCAGCAGAACGACCCGCGAACAAGUGAAAACAACACAGGCGCUCCGGCGCAAACAUCAAAAUCCGGCGCAGCCGCGCCAAGGAAUACUUACCGGAGACAGGGGGUCGACUCGUCGACACCGCGAAUCCGAAUACUCAAACGACUCUCGGCAACGGAUAUCUCGGCUCUUGCAUCGAUGAAGAACGUAGCGAAAUGCGAUACUUGGUGUGAAUUGCAGAAUCCCGUGAACCAUCGAGUUUUUGAACGCAAGUUGCGCCCGAAGCCUUUUUGGUCGAGGGCACGCCUGCCUGGGCGUCACACACAGCGUCGCCCCCACCAAUCCGUUUGGAUGGGGGACGGAUAAUGGCCCCCCGAGCCCUCUGGGGCACGGUCGGCACAAAUGAUGGUCCUUGGCGGCGAGCGUCGCGGUCAGCGGUGGUUGUAUUCUCACCCCCCAAAGACAAAAACGACGCGUCCGCCUCGUCGCAUACAGGGCAAAGCUAACCCAGGGGAGCUCCUCCCGGAGACUCCCACCU
rnacentral:misc_RNA from 1 species